rnacentral:rRNA from 1 species
GACGAACGCUGGCGGCGUGCUUAACACAUGCAAGUCGAACGGAAAGGCCCUGCUUUUGUGGGGUGCUCGAGUGGCGAACGGGUGAGUAACACGUGAGUAACCUGCCCUUGACUUUGGGAUAACUUCAGGAAACUGGGGCUAAUACCGGAUAGGAGCUCCUGCUGCAUGGUGGGGGUUGGAAAGUUUCGGCGGUUGGGGAUGGACUCGCGGCUUAUCAGCUUGUUGGUGGGGUAGUGGCUUACCAAGGCUUUGACGGGUAGCCGGCCUGAGAGGGUGACCGGCACAUUGGGACUGAGAUACGGCCCAGACUCCUCCGGGAGGCAGCAGUGGGGAAUAUUGCACAAUGGGCGGAAGCCUGAUGCAGCAACGCCGCGUGCGGGAUGACGGCCUUCGGGUUGUAAACCGCUUUCGCCUGUGACGAAGCGUGAGUGACGGUAAUGGGUAAAGAAGCACCGGCUAACUACGUG